GACACCUUUCCGUUGGCCUAGUGGUUAGAGGGUCCGCCUCUGAAGCGUGAGGUCGCGGAUUCAAACCCCGCCCGAGUCA